GCUGGAAAGACAGGGCAGGGGACCAUCACCAGGGAAAGACUUCAUUCUUGGAAGGACAUCGAACCGGGGGCAGGUCGGUAGUGGAGCCGCUGUUUCUUCUGCUGUAUCCAAAAGUUCUAACUCUUCGGCUUUCUGCAUUUUCAGCUCUUUCUUUUCCUGGCCUUCUCAUUGCUGGUUCCUGCACACCUCCCCUCUAUUCCUCCCCCCAAUAUAUUCGUUAGUCUAAAGGAAAUUUCUUCUUCCUAUUCCCCACACUCUCCAGUCCCCUCUCCUCCCUUAUUCCAGGCUCCAGCAUUCCUGCCUUCUCCUUGGUGCACUUGCCAUCUGCAUUAACCCCU
rnacentral:lncRNA from 1 species